rfam:Flavobacterium sp. FPG59 Contig_51, whole genome shotgun sequence.
UUUUGCCCCAGAUAGUAGUGUAAAGCUUUGCAUUUUUGCCUACUAUUUUUUCUAGAGCUGGCAGAGCGACCGUAGGAAGCUCCUGCUGGAUCCAAAGAAAAAAAGAGGGCAAAAAGGGAAACUUGUAACGAAUAGCUGGAACAGGC